GCAUACAAGCACGCUUCCUCCAUUUAAUUUUUGAAAGCAUGCAAUUUGUUGCUUAAUGAACUUAGAUUUUCACAAAUUUUCCUUCAGUUAUAUGGAUCCCCAAGCCUUCCGGCAGAAAUUCAGCAAUAAUAGACCUGGGUUUUGGUCACAUUCGCCAUUGAAGAUGAACUAACUUCGACAACCCGCUGCAGCGCAACCCACGAGGUCACCCACCUUCAGCCCUCGCGGUUUGAAGUUUGGAUCGCCACGACGCCAGCCUUAUUCCACAAUAGCAGCAGCACUCCACAGACCCGUCGCUGCAACCCAUGAAGCUUCAACCCGCGGUUCGUACCACCAGACCCCAGCCGCAACCACAUUCGAAUCCCUCGACAGCCGUCCCCCGAGCACAGCUUUCCCCGCGACGCAACUGCAGCUCAACCCACGACCAGUUUCAGUCACGAGCUUCGAGUUCAACCUUUGGAGGUCUCGCGUUUCCCAGAUCUUCAGUCAUGAACAGACGAUGGUCUUUGUGCAGCCCGAAAAGGAGAGAUCGACGAGGAUAAGGAAGGAAAUGGAUGAAGGGAUAAGGAAGGAAAGAGAGAGUUGUGUGGCUGUGCGACCGUUUGGAGGAGAGAGACGGAAACAACAAUAGAAAGGGCGCUGGCUACUGCAACAAGAAGGCUGGGUCCAAACUUGGGCCUAGUGGGCGUCCAGCACAAAAGGGAUAAGGUUAGCCUGCUGCAAUGGUUAAGCGGCGUGGGCCUCCUUCCCUCUUUUGCCUUGAGCUAUUAAAAAUAAAAAUCAGGGAGGCAACAAAGAAAUUGAAUAAAACAAAGAUAUGUGGCCUUAUAAAAGAAGGCUCAAAUGUACACCAGAAGAAGGAAGGGAGAGAAUUUUUGAAAUUUGUGCUCCUUCGGUGACUCGGGAAAUUAAGACACCUUCUUCAGCAACUCUCCUUAUUCGAAGAUUUCAACAGACUCCACUAUAUGCUACUACACUUCGAUAGUUAUAAGUUUCGUAAUUACUCAGUGACUUGGGUUUUGUAAGUCCCAACUAGUAAACUUUCCUCACUCGAGAACUUGGGGAGAUAACUAUUUGUAUUGUACUUGACCAAUCAUGAAACUAUCGGUCAACUUCAUAUCUUCAAGGACCCACUGAAGGGUUCGUGAUGAGGCACUCCUGCCGAAGCACAAGAGUUCUCUCCAAUUAGAAGGCCAAUUUAGUUCCUGAAUUAUCACCUGAGUGAAAAUUAGGUCCUAACUUCUUCUCUCUUUUUUUCAGAAAAACUAGUCCUUGAAUUAUAAAACUCGGCCAAUUACAUCCCUAAUAUUAUAUUUGAAGCUACGAUAUUCAAUUUUCCAUCAACUUAAGUCACGGUACAUGCAUGUGAUACACAUUUGAGGGUAGAUUGGUAAUUUUACAUAAAGAAUAGUGUUUGGAGUUAACUUUGAAGGGUUAAUUAGAUAUUGGAUUCGCAACCUAUAUAAAAUGUUAAGGGCUUAUUGGCUAAAAAUGAUGGUCUUACACUCUAAAGUGUUUCAAGUGACUUAAGUUGAUGAAAAAUUGAAUAAAAAAAAGCUUUGAAUAUAAUACUAGAGAUGAAAUUAGUAAUUAACUGAAAAAUAAGACCUAAUUUUUACUAAGAUAACAGUUCAGAGACUAAAUUGACAUUUUAUCCUAAAUCAAUUGCAUCUUUUGGGUUUCUCACCACUCCUUGAAACACCAAUUCAUUUAUGCACUUCCAAAUUCUCCAAAGAACAAAAACCACCUCCUACAUAAUCUCCUCUCUCCGCUGCUCAUCCUUACAUCGCAUACCAAUAUACUCCAACACGCACGAAAAUCAAUCCCCACAAACGCCGUUGCAUCCAGUUGUAAUGAGCAGCAAUACCAAAUGACACGACUAAAUUCACACCCAAAAAAUAGGUGUUCUUCCAUUUCCUCAGCACACCCACAAAGGACACAUGAAUUGUCCACUCUCAUCCUCCUACGAAUUAGAUUUCACCGAACCGCCAUAGAGUUGUUACAACACCUCCAAAUAAAAAAACUUCAUUUCUUUGGCACAUGUAAUCUCCAUAUAUUCGGAUUAUUGUUUAAGUGUCGAUUAACGUGUUUAUUUCUUAUUGGUGACACAUAAUUUGGUUUGAAAUUGGCUUAUAAAUUUGAUUAACCUAGCAUUACUCAACACAGUCAGACUCAUUCACAAUCUAACAAAUGUCCCUAACUUAAGCUAUUUGUCGCCCCAACAUACCUGGGUGUAGAAAAUUGACUAUAGCAGUAUGCUUCUAUUGAACUUGAACUCAAUGUUCUAAACCUCCUUCCCAUAGUUUAAAUUAGAUUAGAAUAUUGCUCAAAUUAGAAAAGCUAGAUGUAGCCCCAAACUUAAUCCGGAUGAUGAACAUGCAAAGUAUGAUUAUGUUGUAAGCACUUAUUUAAAUAAUAUUGAUCAUUCUUGCUAUAAUAUCUCACCUACUGAAGCGUGCACUGAUUGCCUCGCUUUUAAAAAGAUUAACUUUCAUCCAGAUUUAGUGGUUGACUUGAAAAGAUAAUACUUUUGAAAGUUGUUGCUUUAAUAAAAUUAUUUUACACUAAGAUUUCCAUACCUUGGUGAAUCAAAACAGUAGUUUGGCGGAAAGCAAAUUUGUUAAUCAAAAAAGUAGUUAAUUUGUUAAUCAAAAAAGUAGUUUGGCGGAAAGCAAAUUUGUUAAUCAAAAAAGUAGUUUGGCGGAAAGCAAAUUUGUUAAACAACUCGUCUUUGUUUUGGUUGCUUGUAUUUUAUCAAAACUUAGUGGGUGGGCAAUGCAUAUAGAUUAUUGGGCGAACUAGAAAAAGCAGUAAAUUAGGUGGAAAGAAAAUUUGUUAAAGACUCACCUAUAUCUGGUGCAUAAAAAAAUCUCAUUUUAUCAAUCAUUGUCUAGUGAAAUUAUUGUAUAGCUUAGUGCUUGAUGUAGUUUAUCAAGUGGAAUUAUUCUGCUUUCGUAGCUGAUUGUGCUUCUUGGUCUUAAUUUGACUCUAAUGAACAUGGUUGAACUUGAAGGAAUGUACAGCUUCAAAGUGCUUUACCCUUGGAUUUCAGUACCUUGAUGAAUAAAAAAAUAGUUUGUUGGAAAGCAAAUUAGGUAAAGACUCACCUAUAUAUGUGGUGCAUUAUAAAGGUUCAAUUUAUCAAUUAUAAUGUCUACUGAAUUAUUAUAUAGCGGGCAUUUCUAAUGGGGACUCUAAAGCCAUCUCCAACCGAUGGUUAGCCAGAUGACUCGUUUUAGUCAUCUGGCCCUCUAAGAUCCUCCAAGAUAUUAAUAUUUUAAUGAACAAUACAUAUCCAUAUUUGCCUCCGUCUCCAACCGAGGGCCAGAUGGCUCGUUUUAGCCCUAUCACACAAAAACCGUCUCCAAUCGAGGGCCAGAGGGUCAUAAGGCCAAACAUAAUUUAUUAUUUAAAAACUACAACUUAAAAUAAAAUGAAACAAAUUUUGUGAAAUAGAAGUUAUAGGAAAAAAUGGAAUUUAAAAAAAAUAUGAAACAAAUUUUGUAAAAUAAAAGUUAUAGGAAAAAAUAGAAGUUAUAUGAAAAAUUUUGUAAAUAAAAAAUAAUAAUAAAACUGUAAAAAAAAAAAUCAAAUCAAAUGCAACAACUAGUCAGCUAGCCGUUGCAUUUGAAUUCUUUCUUAAGAAAACCGACAGUAAUACAUUUAUACUAAAUAAUAUAAAUGUAUUCAUGUCGGCUAUAACCGACAGAAAUAACAAAACAUUAAAAAAAAUGGCCAGCCCCAGGCUGGCUGGCUGCAUGCAGCUAGCCCUCCAGCCCUCUUCGAUUCCGUGGGACCCUCCCAGGUUCCAGAGCCCUCUGACCUAGCCCUCGGUUGGAGACGGUUUUCAAGCUAUUUUCGGCCCUCUGACCCUCUGGACCCUUAGGUUGGAAAUGGCCUAAAUGGUGUCUCCACAACCUUAUAGCCUCUAAAUAUAGGGACAAAGGGCUUUCAAUAGGCUUCUAAUGAGCUGGACUAAAGGUUUUUACAGUAUCCCAAUGUAUAGAGACUCAUCGGAUACCUCAAAAAAAUUCUCAAAUGUAAAGACAACAUAGGGACUCAAAGAGUGCGCCCAAAUGUUGAUUUUAAGUGGGAAACAAACCUCACCCACGUGAUAAUGUUGGACAAAAGCUUCUCUCACCACCAAACUGACGCAACGUCAGUCAUGGGCCCAUACUGCACUUGUGUCAUUUUUCUUUCUUUUCUUUUUUUUUUUUGAACCAUUGAGAAACCAACGGUUGAGUUUUUUUUUUUUUUUUGGUUUUUGUUUCUUGUUUUUAUCGGCAACCACAAUACUAUAACGAAAUAAACAAUGCUUUUUUUUUUAAAUAUUUUAGUCCCUACAUUUAAAGAUUCUAUUAUAAGGACCUCCUAUUGCAGACAAUAUUCAUUUGAAGACCUGAAUAUUCUCUUAAAGCCCCUAAAAGUGUCCUCAAGUGUGGUGGUGGAUACCCAAAAAUAGGUAUUCCAUUGAAGAUGCUCUUGGUACUCGAUGAACUUAUCAAGUGGAAUAACUUUGCUUUCCUUAGUAAUUGUACUUGGUCUUAAUUUGACUCUAAUGAACAUGGUUGAACGUACUGCUUUUAUUACUACACAUGAAUCCCUGCAUUGGAUGCAUUGAGAAGAUUUUACAUCAGUGUGGGGAUCGGGUUUGUUGUUGAAUUUUGGGAUGUUUGUGGCACAUUGAUAUUCAACAGGUCAUGGAGAUAUUCAUACUUCAAGUACUGAAAUGUUGUAAACGAUUGGAUUUAGGAAAGGGUGGAGUUGACAGAUAAUGCUUUGAUGUUGUUUUUGUGGAUGCAAAUUUCUUCCUUCUUGAUCUUAGACAAAAUUGCACCUACAAAACAAUGAACAUCUCAGCUCAAGGCCAAGAGCCUCACGUGCCCAUGAUGAAUGGAGGGCUUUGGCUGAAGAACCUCUGAUGCCAAAGUUAAAAUUUAGAAAGAAAAAAUGUUUGAGAAUUCUAGAGAAUUUUAGCAAGAGUUGGAACUAGUUUUUGGGAGAGAAUGGUGAGCUAUAUAUAGGGAUAUGGCCGGUCCUAUUAGGAAAAUAGGGACCGGCCAUUUAGGUAUUUUUUGGGUGUAAAUUGUGGUUAAUUAGCCAUUAAUAGUUUAACUAGGCAAUAAAUCUAUUAAUGGACUAAUUAACAUAUUUUGAAAGAAAUUAUAUAGGGAGUUAUGGAAUGAUUAAAAUAAUUAGCUAAUUGAUUAGCUAAAAAUGGAAAAAUGAGGUAGAAAUAUAUGGAAUGAAAUAGGUUUUAGGAGUUACCUUGUAGAAGGGAUUUGAUGAGAUAGGUUUUGAAUUGUUACCUAUUUUGGGCACUUUUGAUUUAGUUGAAGGAUGAUUGCCCGCUGCUCAUGCGUAAGAAUCUCGUUGUACCUUAAGGGUAUUUUUGUCCUCUUUUAUCCUGUCGCAUUGUGAUUAUUUUUGGCUCCACAGUUUUAGCAGCAUCUUUUUGGCUCAUGCAUAUCUUGGUGACACUCAUGCAUGUGCCAUUCAGUUGGAGACGGAGAUUGGUGACUGCACUUUUAAAAUUAUGACGGACAACUACUAGUGUACUUAACUUGUGUUUGAUUUUGUGGCCUUGUCUCAAUGUCGACAAUUUGCGCACUAUAUUUUUGCUUUUGAGGAAGCAGCACAUGAAAGAUUCAUGCCAAAGGGUAAGGCAAAUACAUGUAAUAAUUUGAAGACAAAAAAUCACUAAUUCAGGUCAAUACAUUUUCUAUUUGCAUUGUAGAAAUUUUGAUUUUGUUCAUCACUUAUUGUCUCCUCUUGUAUGAAAAAAGUUGUUCUUUCUAAUACCAUGGAAUUUUUUAUUUUGCAUUGUGAAAAUUUUGAUUUUGUUCCGCUUUUUUACCGUGAUUUCGGCAACUAUUUUCGUCGAUUGAAGUAUUGUCACGUCCCGGACUCAAAAUGAGUGAAAGAAAUGAUCUCGGGCCCAUAUGCGAAUAAAAAUAAAAUAAAUAAAAAGAAACUUAAACAGGUUUGAAAACUAGCUCAUUUAAAAAUGAUGCGGAAGAAUAAAUAGGCUAGUACGCCAGAAUGAAUGGGAAAUUGAUUUAUUUAAUAUACGAGUCAAAUACACAAUAAAUAAGAAUUUACUAAAAUACAAUAAUCACCAUUCGACUUCACGUACAUUUCACGAGUCCCUUAAUUCUCUAAAUUGAUCUGCAGCCUUAGAUGCUUGGAUUCGACUCCCUGAUCACUGAUGUGAAAAUUGUACUGUAAUUCGACUUAACUCAAGUUAUGAAAAUACAGUAAACAAGUUGGAAGGCUACAAAGUUCCCUCUGUCUCACUUUCCUUCUUUUUCUUCGGGUCUGAAAACUUGGAAAACAAAUGGUGUUUUCCUCGGACUAGGAUUGUCUGCCCUCCACUUCCGAUGUCAUUUCCGUUUCCUCCUAUUUGUGUGGUCACGGUUAAGCCACGUCAACAUUCUAUAUUACUAUUUAUUUUUGUCUUAUUAUAUCUAUAAAAAAUAUAUAUAUAAAAUGUUGACGUAACUUAACCGUGACCACACAAAACAGGAGGGCACUGGAAGUGGAGGGCAGACAAUCCUUGUCCGUUUUCCUCUUCAUUCUUUUCUCUUUCUUUGUGGUCCAAUCAAAGAACAAGAGGGCACGAAAGGGCACUGGAAGUGGAAGGACAGACGACCUUUGUCCCCAAUCAAAAUCCUUCAUAUGUGACCCCAUGUCAUCAUUCAUAUGUGGCUAGCUAUCAAUUUGUCACGUGGCGAAGUCAACCAUCUGUCGCUGCCACAUGUCAAUCAUUUAGUCGUCCUCUAAACUGACAAAUAUUCCGAAAGAUACUAUCAAAAUCACCUCUAGUUUCAUCCUACUACUUCCGGAUCAUCAAUUGUUCUCAAUCAAAAUAAUAUUUUUCCCAAUAUCUUAGUCAUCCGAAAUAACGACUACUUGUGAAACAUUAAUAAUUUCAGGGUUUCAAAGCUAUGAACCUUCAUCUAUUCUUCACAAUCUUCAAGUUAGUAUGCUUUGUUUCUACAUUAAUAGCCGUUUUGGAGUCGGGUGUUUAGAAACUUAUAAAUCUGGUUUUGGCCGAUGGUUUUGGUCGGUUGCCGGCUAGAAUUGAUUGUCGGGAUAGUUAUAAAAGUUGAUCCUUAUGUUGAGUUCUAUAUGCCUGUAAAAUUUGGUGUGUCAGAAAAUUGGGUUUCUAGUUUCAUAAUCAUAUCAACACUAAAUCAAGCCCAGAAAGGUGGCGUUAGAAAGAUUUGUAUAUCCCUCACAAACUUGUAGAAGGAACCUUCCUUAAAAAUCACCAUCUUGACCGGCUUAUAGAACAACUAAGCCCAAAAAUUCAAACUGAUAGCACUACGCAGUCAACCUUCUUUUCUUUGCCACAAUCAAAUGGCAUGGAAUAAAAAUCUUGAAUUUUUACACUAUUAACUUGAAAGAUCACAAACACACAGAAUUACUUCAAAUUCCUUUUUUUUGAUAACUUUUUUCCCUACCAACGAAAUAUAGAAUAAAGUAUUAAAAUUAUACCAAAAUAGUUAAUAAAUUAUAUCUAAGACUAUGGUAAAAAUAUAGAAUAAUGUUGAUUCAUCAGCAAGUAUUGAAAUAAUAGUUUAACACAUUUUUAUUUGGCCUAUCGAUUCACCAAACAUAUACAUACACAUAACUAGAGACAGCAAGAGAGAGAAUAGUGGGAAUCAUUCAUCCCACAGUCCGACGCAUGGAUUCUCCCCAAUUCAACGAAAGUCCUCUUCAUUAUGUACACAAAAUAACAACAAACACGUUUUUGAGUAAUUAUAUCUCUGCCUGCCCUUUUACUUUUGACUUUAGAGAAAGCGGCUCAUGUGAUGUACGAUUCAUGCCUAACUUUAAAGGCAAAUACAUUAUUCUAACAAACUAUUAAAACUUAAAGGGGUAAUUUGGAUUUCAGAGAAUUUUAAUGGAUUUUUUUUAAGUAACAAAUUUGAAAAGAUUUUAAUAGAUUUAUAAUUUUACUUGGAUUUUGACAAAUGUAUAUGGAUUCCUAUUAUAGAUUUUUAUGGAUUUGAAUGGAUUUCUUUAAUGGAUUUCUUAGGAUGUUAGUUGACUCCUACAACAUAAAAUGAAUUUGUUCGUGGCAGGAAUUUCCUUGGAGGAUGUUCCCUGGCCGACGAGCACACAGCUCCCCGGGAUGGUUGGCGCCGGUUGAGGCUUCCUGUCAGGCUUCUGCUUUACUGGCGGGCUUGUCGGGCAAAGCUUAGUCGGGCAAGGCUUGUCGGGCAAAGCUUAGUCGGGCAAGGCUUGUCGGGCAAAGUUCUUCGGGCAAGGCUGAAAGAGAAGGACAGAGUUAACUUUGAAAUAAUGCCUUUAUGGGGCCUUAGGUGUAGGCCUUCCCUUUCUCUUGGAUUCAAUAAUAUUUCUUCAGGAGGAGUGACGAGGUGCUUUGAGAGGGAAAGAGAAGCACUUCUUGCUUUCAAACAGGGCCUCGUGGAUCACUACAAUCUCCUCUCUUCGUGGGGAAGAGAAGAUCACAAACAAGAUUGUUGCAAAUGGGUAGACGUCCAUUGCAGCAACCGAACCAACCAUGUUACUCAACUUCAUCUUGGACGGGAAAGUCUCGUGCGUGUCGUACAGCGUGUCCCGCCUCCCCCAGUUCUUAGGGAUGAAACCAGAAAUUUAACUAAGAGGGGGCAUCUUAAAAAAUUUGAGCUCCUUUUUUGGACAAAUAAAGUUAGUUCUUUUACAAAUGCUGAAAAAUUAAUUACAAAAUGCCUAAUUUUAUUACUCUAUUGUCUAAUUUUGUCUUUAAUUGUUGACAAUCUAAUGUUCAUUUGUACUAAUUAACCAAAUACAUGUAACUCAAUAAGGUUUAGACAUUAGUGUGUGAGAAAAAUAUAUAAGACGGAGGAGCAUUUGAAAACUAAAAAAAGAUUUUCACUAUUUUAAUAUGAUUAAUUGAAUAAUCUGCCAAGCAAAAAAAAAUAGAAAUGAUUAAUUGAAUAAUUUGUCCUGAGGGACCACGUGUCGUGAGCCGUUCCUGCUGCGACUCAGUGCUUUGUUCGCAGAGAUGAGCGAUAGGAUCGUCUCCGUGGCGGUCGACUGUAAGCAGAGCAUGUUCUACGGGACCACCGUCCGUGGGGUCAAGUUCUGGGACCCUACUUCUUCUUCAUAAACCCGAGGCCGACGUACGAGGCCACGUUUCUGGACCGGCAGCCGGACAACAUGUCGGACGACAAGUUUCUAAUUCCACAAAAUACAAAAAGACUUAUAAAAUGUAAACAGAACGAAACAAUCAACGCGGAAUUGUGUUGAUUGUUGCAGGCUUUGUCAUUAUUUUGGAGAGAAGAGUCAGCGUCUAAUUACUACACCUACGUACAGAAAAGUAGGUGGUCCACUCACACAUGUUUCAUACUUGACCAUUUGAGUCAAGACAACUCAGUGUGUGGAUCGUAUUGUGAACUAUUACGUAGUGACCCAGCCUUAUAAGAUACUCGCAUCUUUCCUUGUGCUCCUAAAUCAAUUAUGAUCGUACACUUCUUCUUCUUCAUUCUUCAAUCAUCUUUGCCUUGAUUUUGUUGAAUUAAGAUGGAGAACGACGGAAUCAGGUGCUUGAAGAAAUUCUUUCACACUUCCAUUGUGGUGCUACUUUUUCUACAAUGUUUCAACCCUUCCCUAUCCUCUGGAUUCUAUAAUGUUUCUUUGGGUUUCGGAGCAAUUGGCCACCGGGUGGUGACGAGGUGCAUAAAGAGUGAAGGGGAAGCACUCCUUUCUUUCAAACAAGGUCUGAUUGAUGACUACAAUCUCCUCUCCUCCUGGGGAAGAGAAGAACACAAGCAAGAUUGUUGCAAAUGGCUUGGCAUCCACUGCAGCAACCGAACCAACCAUGUUACUCAACUUGAUCUUGGAUGGAAUCAUAUGAAUGAAGUUUACUCACUUCAACAGAAAGGACAGCAGGAGUAUCCCGUAUAUUACUUUCAAGGUAAAAUGAUGAGUCCUAAACUAAUUGAGUUGCAGCAUUUGAAAUAUUUGGACCUUUCUUCCAUUAACUUCACUGGGACCCAGCUUCCAGAUUUCAUUGGUUCUCUUUCCAAUUUAAGACACCUCGAUCUCUGGUAUGCUUCUUUUGGUGGUCGAAUUCCAACUCAGAUUGGAAACCUUACUCACUUGCAAUAUCUUGAUCUCAGAUCCAAUCACUUUGCUAAUGUAGAAAAUAUCAAUUCAUGGCUACCUCAUCUUUCUUCUUUAACAUAUUUGGACCUGAGUUACAACAAUCUUAGUAAUGUUCCUGACUGGUUGGAAAUAGUUAGUAAGCUCCCUAAACUUACUAACUUGUCUCUGUCUUAUUGUAGUCUUCCUUCUCUUCUAAUUCAUUCCAGUACUCUUUUUAACAUAAAUUCUUCUAAAUCUCUUGCUCAUGUUGAUCUCAGUGAUAACCAACUCACUUCUUCCAUAUUUCUUUGGUUGUCCAAAUACAAUGCCAGCCUUGUUCAUCUUGAUCUCAAAUACAAUAACUUUGCUAAUGUAGAAAAUCUGAAUUCAUGGCUGCCUCAUCUUUCUGCUUUAACAUAUUUGGACCUAAGUUACAGCAAUCUCAGUAAUGUUCCUGACUGGAUCGAAGCAGUUAAUAAUCUCCCUAAACUUACAAACUUGUCUCUGUCUUAUUGCAGUCUUCCUUCUCCUCUAAUUCAUUCCAGUACUCUUUUUAACAUAAAUUCUUCUAAAUCUCUUGCUCAUGUUGAUCUCAGUGACAACCAACUCACAUCUUCUUCCACAUUUCUUUGGUUGUCCAAAUACAAUGCCAGCCUUGUUCAUCUUGAUCUCAAAUACAAUAACUUUGCUAAUGUAGAAAAUCUGAAUUCAUGGCUGCCUCAUCUUUCUGCUUUAACAUAUUUGGACCUGAGUUACAGCAAUCUCAGUAAUGUUCCUGACUGGAUGGAAGCAGUUAAUAAGCAUCCUAAACUUACAAAUUUGUCUCUGUCUAAUUGUGGUCUUCCUUCUCCUCUAAUUCAUUCCAGUACUCUUUUUAACAUAAAUUCUUCUAAAUCUCUUGCUCAUGUUGAUCUCAGUUACAACCAACUCACUUCUUCCAUAUUUCUUUGGUUGUCCAAAUAUAAUUCCAGCCUUGUUCAUCUUGACCUCUCUUACAACCAGUUAACUGGCUUAUUUCCCGAUGUCAUUGGAAACAUGAGCUCUCUUGCAUAUCUAGAUCUCUCUUCUAACCAAUUUAAAGGGGUGAUUUCAGAAAGUCAUUUCUCGGGUCUCUCCAGAUUAAGAUCUUUGUCUCUGUCCUCUACCUCACUAACUUUAAACUUCCAUUCUAAAUGGGUUCCUCCCUUCCAAUUGGAUGUCAUAUUCUUGAGGUCUUGCAAGAUGGGUCCACAUUUUCCAAAUUGGCUUCAAACUCAGAAAAGUUAUCGGACGCUUGAUAUUUCUAAUGCUGGAAUUUCUGAUAUCCUUCCAAGUUGGUUUUGGGAAAGGCUGUCUCAUGCUCCUGAAAUUGGUUAUGUAGAUCUCUCCAACAACCAAAUUAGAGGAACAAUUCCAAACUCGCAAAUCAAUUUUGUAUGUUUCUCUCGUCAACUAAAUUUGAGUUGGAACCAAUUGGAAGGUCAAGUCCCUCCAUUCCUAUUGAAAGCUUCGUCAUCUCUCUUUCUCUCCCACAAUAAAUUUUCAGGGUUGUUUUCUUUCUUGCUUCCAGUUAACGCAAGUCAUUUAAGAUUGCUUGAUCUCUCGAGCAACCAUUUACAUGGAGAACUUCCCGAUUGCUGGACUCAUUUCAAAAAUCUUUUAAUUCUUGAUUUGAGUGACAACCUUUUUUCUGGGAGAAUUCCUGCCACAAUGGGCUCUUUAUCUUCAAUUCAAACAUUGAACCUAAACACUAAUGGACUUGUGGGAGAAUUGCCUUCAUCUUUGAAGAACUGUACAAGUCUCAUAGUUUUUGAUGUUGGAGAAAAUAAAUUAUCAGGUUUGAUACCUGAAUGGUUAGGGGUUGGACUUCCAAAUUUGACUAUCCUUAUCCUCCGUUCUAAUCACUUCUAUGGAAGCAUUCCAUCACAAUUGUGUAAUAUGGGAAGCAUUCAAAUUCUGGAUUUCUCGAUGAAUAACAUCUCCGGAAGUAUACCCAAAUGUCUCAACAAUUUGACUAAUUUGGCUCUAAGAGGAAGUUCAAGUCUAACUAUCACUCACCUAUUUAAGGCAACCUCCACUGAUAUUGCUGUCAGUAUUUUUGAUUAUGAAGACGAAGCAUCCUUGAUAUGGAAUGGAAUAAUGUCCAAAUACAAAAGUACCCUGGGGCUUGUAAAGAGUAUCCAUCUGUCAAGUAAUCGAUUAACGGGGGAGAUUCCUAGUGAAGUCACUGAUCUUGUGGGGCUGGUUUCUUUAAACCUAUCAAGAAAUAACUUAACAGGUCAAAUAACUCCAAAAAUAGGAAAGUUGCAGUCUUUAGAUUUGCUUGAUUUGUCAAACAACCAAAUACAUGGUACAAUUCCAACAAGUCUCAUUGGAAUAUCUGGCCUUGGUAAGUUGGACCUGUCCAACAACAACCUAUCUGGAAAAAUUCCCAUCGGGUCUCAACUUCAACCCUAUGACGCCACUGUUUUUGCUGGAAAUCCUCUCCUUUGUGGAAUUCCACUUGAACAUAUGUGCUCUCCUAAGGAAACAACACUGGAGGAGCAACCAGUGGUAGACAAUCAAGAUGAAGAUGAUGACGGGUUUAUAACACCUGGAUUUUACAUGAGUUUGGGGCUUGGAUUUAUCAUUGGAUUCUGGGGAGUUUGUGGGAGUUUGAUAUUCAACAGGUCAUGGAGAUACAUGUACUUCAAACUCUUGAAUGGUUUAAAUGAUUGGCUUUAUAUCAAGGUGGCAUUGUUCAUGCAACGAAGAAUGCUCGAUGAAUAAGCUGUAAGUAUACUGUCACAUAAUGAAUAAUACUGCAAUUAACAUACAUGUCCUCCUCUCUUUUAAACUCCCGGCUAACGGCUAACGCCUGUAAUUUACUUGAAUUUUUGUAGCUCGUCCAUCGGCUUGUGUGGUACGACAUGCUAACCCCUUCGGCUUUUGGGUUGAGAAGGAGCCUGAAGGACAAUAGCUUUUAAGUUAUGGUGGAAUUUCUCCAAAUUCAUGAGUGGGAAAUGUAUUUGGUUCAUUGUCGAGUUGUAAUUUUACACAAAUAUUUAUGGUUUUAGUUUCAAUUUUUCCCAAUUUGUUAUGAAUUAAUGGAUGAAUAGACUGCGUUCCAAAUUGAAAGCCAGGAUUGAAGAGCUGUGUACAAGAGACUAAAAAGAGUGGCACUAAACGAAGACCAAAAAGAGUGCCACUAAACAAUGGACAUGAAUUAAAAUUUCAAAACUACAUUGAACUUGUUAAACAAAUUCAAAAAUAAGUGAGACGACCAGUUUGUGUAAUCUCAUACAAGCUUGUGAUAAACGAACAAGUUUGGCUCAUGAAAACAAAGGCAAAAUUAUUAUUAUUUUUAUUUAUUUGUUGCCUUAACAUACCAAACAGAAGCCCCCAAAAUCCAACUCCGGCUAAUUACCCCAACAAAAGAAGAUUAAAUUAUGAAGAAGGGAAAAAAUAAUUAUGUUUGGGUCCAAAUAAAUGAGAAUUGGAACUCUUGGUAGCCUGUUAGCAUCUGGUCAAAAUUGUUCCAGCCUGUGGCUGAUGAGAGUUUUGUUCGAGCCGUUUCCACUCUGGAUGUACUCCUGUAUGCACGAGAGGUAAGAGGAGUAAAAGGGAAUGUAAUGCUGAGUAAGUGCUCUACAGUUUAUUGUUUGUGGCUUGUUUUGAUCCUUCAGUAGAACGAUGCAGAAGCAGAUAAAACAGUGUAUUCAAAUAUUGAUCAAACAUUCAGGAUUGGUACAAUACUAGUGGAAUUAAGCUUGUCUGGGUGCGGGAAUAUCACUAAUCAAAUAGCUAAUGCACAGCUAACUUGACUGAAAAGGGAAGGGAGGAAAUAACGAUGUCCAUAUCAAUUCCUCUCACUUAGUAAAAUAAGAACGUGAUAGAAACAGAACAGCCAAUUAUGAAUAACCAGGAAUACGAAAAAAAAUUCUAAUGCAUAAUAUCAAUCAGCCCAUGAAAAAAAAAGAGAUUUUGGAAAACCACAUGUAGGAGACAGGAAAACAGAUUAUACUUUCCAACUUUCGCUCCACAACUAUAUGCUUUUACGGAUAUCAUAUGGUAAAGAGGAAUGUUGAAAAAACAAUUUCUUUUCGGGUUGCAUAGGUAAGUUUCACAGACCCACCGGGAUUAGCACUCGCCCUCCACCCUUGGUCUUAAGGAACAUGGCAUGUCAUUAGGUUCAAAAGCUAGUUGAAAGGAGAAACAUGUAAAGCAUUUGUAACCUUACCAAAAGAAACGAAAAUACCUUAGCACAGAUUUACUUAUGUGACAAUAGAUUAUGUAUCAGGAAAAAAACAAUGGUAGAAGCUUUCGGAAGGGAACAAAAAAGUAAGAAGAAAGAGAACAUACAAGCAUAUCUUCUGAAAGAACUGUUUCCAUUAAUGGAAAAUGUUACAGGCCUCCUUUCCUGACCCAAAGAUAGGAUCUCUUGCAUCCUUUCAGGCCAGUCUGAAUUUAACCUCCGAGCAAAAUCUUCAACCUCCCUGAACAACGAUUUAAGAAAAUAUGUAACAUUAGCAAGAACCAAGUUUUGUCUCUAUAAAUUGCGUAUUUACAUGCAGAACCAUGGUGGAGGAUGCAACUUGAAAUUCCAGUUACAUCCUUAUCAGAAAAUAAAAUAAACACUGACGAGAGAAAAAGACUUGCAGAACCAGAAGAGUGGGCGACCGGAACCAUGUUUCACAACAGAUGCUUAAUGGUGAUGACCAGAAUGAGAGCUCUUUUUCUUUAUAAACAUAAACAAAUAUUUAUUUAAAAUGUCCAAACAACUAUUGCACACAGAAAAUCAAAAACCAACAUCUCUCAAAGCCACCAUAAAGAGCUAGCAAAGGCAAAACAUUAUCCCCAAUGUUUACUCAUUUUUAUCACAGACCAACUUUUUUAAGCAACCUUUUUCAUCUUCUUAGCUGGGUGAGGAGUGGAUUUGAACAUGGGACAGUUUAAAAAAGAAGUGGAGAAAUACCACUACAUUAAUAGCUAUUUAGUUUUUAAGCAAACUCUGCAACAUUGAAAAACAAAUGACAAUUUGAAAUUCUUUUGCAGUUAUCAAAUUUCAUCUUCUAAUUGCAUAUCUUCAAUUUCAGAACUGCGUUCACAAAAAUAAAAUAAAAAAAGCAACGAAGUUGCACCAUAAUGAGAUCCACCAUUCUGUUUCCUUAAGCUUUCCAUAACUAAAGUCAUCAUCGACAAAGUUAUUACCACUGAGUUCAAUUCAGUACUUUUUCUUCCACAUGUUGCUCAACGUGAUAUAUUUUUUUUUUUCAUCCACUAAAAUUAAAAAAGAUGAUAUUAUAUUGCAAAUCGUGUAAUAACCCAAAAUAGUUGCAGACAAACCUAUCAAUUUUUUCCUUCAAUGCCGGAUCAAUCUCAUCAUCAAUAUCACCUUCAUCAAACCCAAUCAUAUCCUCCACCCUAUCAUCCUUUAGAUCUUGUAGCUUUAAUGUCAAACUAGAACUAGGCGUAAAUUUGUUGAGUUCAUCACUGGGGCAAGCAAAGUUAAGAUUGCUCGACACCUAAAACAUUUGGGCGAAAAGAAAAAUGAAGAAAAACUAGCUACCCAACAACUCAAGCAGAAAAGUACAAGUUCAAGACCGAAUUAGUGAUUCAAACCUCAUGGAUCUCAUUGGCCUCAUAUAGACACGUGCUUUUCUGCUGAUCUUUUCUCCUGCGAUUCUUCUUUUUGUUCUUGGAAGUUUUAAUUCCUUUGGAAUCUGUGAAACAUAAUUUCCUUACCUCCAAUGAGGCCUUCAAAAGGAAAUAAAGUAAAAAUAGACGACUAAGACACUACACUUCAAAUCCCAUUUAAAGGAAUCUUAAGUACUUCCAAGUACAGUAUAAUGUGGGCUAAUGCAAUCCUGAAAAAGAUUAGUAUCAAGUGUGCAUUGUGCAAUUUGCUCGUUGGAACUACAACCUACUCAAUGAUAAAUCCAAUUUCUCAAUUAACAAUAACCAUGCAGUCAAGGAAUAAGAGAGCAAUUACUCAGGUAUACCUCCAAUUUCUCCAUUAAUGAAUGACAAGAGAUCAUCAACUGAACGUUCAUCGUUUUGCUCUUCUUCGAGAUGACAAGAGAUCAUCAACUGAACGUUCAUCGUUUUGCUCUUCUUCGAGCUCGUCAUUCUGAAAAGUAUGGAAGGUUCAAUAAUGACUACCAAUAAGAAGGAUAUAUUAUUUAGCAUAGUAUAAAAGCCAGAAAACAUAUUAUGUAGUACGUUUUGAAUUUAGAUUCAUCAAAUACCAAACUCACCUUCAAUUUCUCUCUUUCCUGAAGUUCCCUCCUCUUUCUUGCAUAUAAUCGAUUCAAAAGUCGAAUGCGUGGAUCGUCAGUUGAAUUUUUCAAAGGCUCCAACUUCUCUUCCUGGAUGAUUUCUUAGUGGUGUUAAAAACAACAAAGAAACACCAAGUUUUUGCUAAGCAUACACAGAAAUCUCAAGCAUCGGAGACCUCUGUAAGAUCAUCAGGGAGAUGAAAUAUUUCACGUAUCUCCUCAGGUGUUUUCCCUUCAAUUAUUCGUGCAAGAGCACGACUAGUAAGAUCCACCAAUGGUUUUAAUUGGAGGCUGUCAGCUGCUGAAGUCAACUCACAGAGCAACUUUGCGUCCAUUCGGAUGUAUUUUUCAUCAAAAGCCUUGCAUUCCUACAUAAACGAGUGGUGCCGAGUCAUAUGAGCGUGCCAAGUUUACACCAGCAUCAGAGUAAACAUUUAAUCCAGUGUGCAGGUGGAGAUUAAUGUCCUCAAUAGCUCAAAUUUAUGCAAAACAGACAGAGGGCAUAGACUCAGAAAGAAGUAAAACAGAAUGACAUUCCAAAAACAUGUAGAACCUUGUUCGAGCGACCUGGUACUUGAUGAAAUCGGCAGUAAUCAAGAAUUAAGCUCAACAUUGCAGUACCGACUCUUUCAGGAAGAGAUAUUGCAUGGUUCUUGGAAGCUCCCAUCCCUUUCUGUAUAUUUUCUUUGCAUAUCAUAGGGCAAUACACGUGUUCGCUCCCUAAAUCCGCCAUGGCGCCUUGCGGGCAAGCCGGGGAUUUACUUCACAUAUGAGAUUGGUGGGUGCGGGCGUGCCACUACUAGAUGCCGCUAGUAGACGGGAUUUGAGUGAUUGAGGUUGCGCCUGAAUUUGCCCGAAUCAAGAGAUUGUGUCAUUUGAGUGGGAGUUGCUCAAAUUAAGGUUCUUUGUUUGCCUUAAAAAUAAGGACUUUACUUAUAUGGAGAGAUAGAACAAUAUGUAAAUGAUAAGGUUGCUUGGAAAUAUAAAUGACAGAGGAAAGUGACUAAAAUUGCAGAUUGCUUGUAAUUUAUAUGGCUGGAAAUGAGUACAUAACAGCUACAAAUGAGAUCGAUACCGCAAGUGAGCAGCAGAGCUAAUAAACUAGAUAAAAGAAGGCUUUUUGGUGAAGGUUUAUCCCGAAUGGGAUGAAGGUUUGGGCUGACUACAGCUUCGUUGAAGGCAAAUCUGGCUUGAGCAGAGUUUUGGCUUUUGUUUGUUUGUUUGAGUGUCCAUAAUCCUUGUGCAUCUGCUCCUUUUUAUAGAGGUCUGGAGGAAACCCUCCUGCUGAGGUUUUGUAUCUGCCCGAAAAAAGCUUGGGCAGCUUGUAUUCCAUUGCUUUAGACAGCUUGCAUGCUUUUCACUUGCCAACUUGCAUGGAGAAAUAAUAUUAAAAGGGGAACUUGCAUUUCCACCACAAGCUUUUAGCACAUGUUUUCCCACUUGUAAUAAACUAACAUUUAAAAGAAGCAAGUUGGAUUCUUUCACAUGUUCCUUGCCCGAAAGCUUGCUGAUGCUUUUCCAUCCACUUGCAAUACAUGCAUGUACCUUGAUUAAACAAAUGCUAGACAAACCUCCACCACCCAAACAAAUAGGAGAAACAAUAUUAUAGUGUCCAACCCCUCCACUUGCAUCUAAAUAUCUUUCCAAGUUAGCUUUCUUGCAUAUUAAUCCUCCAAAUGCCAUAUUUUACCCAAAUUGCCCAAAUAAGUAAAAAUGUGUAUAUUUUGAGUGCAAACAGUGCCCCCCAAGUUUUACAAAUUUGAGCAAAGUUUGUGAAACUUACAACCCCAAUGCUGCCAGGAUUGAUGUCGAAGGAAGAGGCACGUCUACAUCUUCAGUCCUUUCGUCGUUGAGAAACUUGGCAAGAUAUGUUCGCUCCCUAAAUCCGCCAUGGCGCCUUGCGGGCAAGCCGGGGAUUUACUUCACAUAUGAGAUUGGUGGGUGCGGGCGUGCCACUACUAGAUGCCGCUAGUAGACGGGAUUUGAGUGAUUGAGGUUGCGCCUGAAUUUGCCCGAAUCAAGAGAUUGUGUCAUUUGAGUGGGAGUUGCUCAAAUUAAGAUUCUUUGUUUGCCUUAAAAAUAAGGACUUUACUUAUAUGGAGAGAUAGAACAAUAUGUAAAUGAUAAGGUUGCUUGGAAAUAUAAAUGACAGAGGAAAGUGACUAAAAUUGCAGAUUGCUUGUAAUUUAUAUGGCUGGAAAUGAGUACAUAACAGCUACAAAUGAGAUCGAUACCGCAAGUGAGCAGCAGAGCUAAUAAACUAGAUAAAAGAAGGCUUUUUGGUGAAGGUUUAUCCCGAAUGGGAUGAAGGCUUGGGCUGACUACAGCUUCGUUGAAGGCAAAUCUGGCUUGAGCAGAGUUUUGGCUUUUGUUUGUUUGUUUGAGUGUCCAUAAUCCUUGUGCAUCUGCUCCUUUUUAUAGAGGUCUGGAGGAAACCCUCCUGCUGAGGUUUUGUAUCUGCCCGAAAGAAGCUUGGGCAACUUGUAUUCCAUUGCUUUAGACAGCUUGCAUGCUUUUCACUUGCCAACUUGCAUGGAGAAAUAAUAUUAAAAGGGGAACUUGCAUUUCCACCACAAGCUUUUAGCACAUGUUUUCCCACUUGUAAUAAACUAACAUUUAAAAGAAGCAAGUUGGCUUCUUUCACAUGUUCCUUGCUCGAAAGCUUGCUGAUGCUUUUCCAUCCACUUGCAAUACAUGCAUGUAUCUUGAUUAUACAAAUGCUAGACAAACCUCCACCACCCAAACAAAUAGGAGAAACAAUAUUAUAGUGUCCAACCCCUCCACUUGCAUCUAAAUAUCUUUCCAAGUUAGCUUUCUUGCAUAUUAAUCCUCCAAAUGCCAUAUUUUACCCAAAUUGCCCAAAUAAGUAAAAAUGGGUAUAUUUUGAGUGCAAACAGUGCCCCCCAAGUUUUACAAAUUUGAGCAAAGUUUGUGAAACUUACAACCCCAAUGCUGCCAGGAUUGAUGUCGAAGGAAGAGGCACGUCUACAUCUUCAGUCCUUUCGUCGUUGAGAAACUUGGCAAGAUGAGCAAGGCAAUUGGUAGUGUAACUAGCAUUGGAAAGAAUGUUGUCUGACUUGUGCAUCCUUCUUGUUGAUACCAAAAAACAUGGGAGCAACCUCACUGAUUACAUAGAUAAUAAAUUGGACAAAUGCUCGAAGUCGGGCAAACUGGAGAACAAGGAUAAAACAUAAAUAAACUUGGGCAACUAUUUAUUUUUUGUCUUUUUCUUUUGGCCUCUUUUCAUAUGUAAUAUAAUAUAUAAUACAAAUACAUAUAUAUAUAUAUAUAAUAUAGCCCACUCGGCAAAGAGAACAGAAAGAGACAAGAAGAAAGAGAAAGGAAGGAAAAGAAAAUAAAUAAAUAAAGAAAAAGGAAGAAAGAGAAGAGGACCCUUUCGGGCAAGAAGGGAACGGAAGAGACAGAAGAGAAAGAAAGGGGAAAGGAAAAGGGAGAGAGGGAAAGAAAUAAUAAAAAAGUAAGGAAAGAACCUUUCUUUCUUAGGCCGAGCCAAGUGAAGGACAGACCUUGAGAAAGGGACAAGGAACAGAAAGCAAGAGAAAAGAAAAAAGAAAAGGAAAAAGAAAGAGAUAGAUAGAGAGAAAAAGAUACCCACGUUCUCUAGCCUUUCCUUUUCUCCAAAAGAGAAGCUGUUUCUCUGUUCGAGGCACCACUUAAAGAUCAAGGUGCGGCAACCAAAAUCCAAGUCUGAGAGAGAGAGAGAGAGAGAGAGAGCAAUCCUUGUUCGUUCCCAAAUUUUGCCUCUUUGGAAUUAAGAGAAGUGGAAAGAUGCCUCUUAAGCUAGCCGACGCCACCAUCUCCACCUUCGAUUGUGUGUUUGACAAAUUCAAAGUAGAAGCUCUAAACAACAAAAUCAAUUUCAUCCUUUUCUUGGCUGACAAUGACCCUUCUACCUCUUGGUGCCCUGAUUGUGUGAGAUCUGAGCUUGUAAUCUACAAAAGGCUAGAAGCUAUACCAGAUGAUGUUGCACUGUUGAGGAAAUCAAACUCCUCUGGUGUUAUUUUGUUCAGAGCCCUCAUAGUCUUUCACACGCGAUCCUCAUCAGAUAGAGCAACCUUCUAGCUGACCAUAGUACCUCAGCUUUGAUUGAAGUAGGAGCAGGCCCUCCUCCUUGGUUCUGUUCAUGCAAAUUAAGCCUGAUUUGCAUCUUGCUGUUUGUGACCAAACCGAUCACCAGACUUUUUGUUCUUCCGGAGAGCACCCGAUGACCGUACUCUUUAAGGCAGGAAUUGGUGUAGAAGUGCCACGCCAAACUCGGCUAUUGGGCUCCGAAUAAUCAAUUUUAGGCUGGAGAUGGAGCUGGAGAUUUGGUAGAAUGGUUUUUGCAUGACCUCAGUUCUGAUCUUCACCACUGGAAUUUCAUCAGGGAGCAAAACAGCUUCCCUAAGCUGUAGUUGAUUCUUUGGGACGGAGUGAGAUGCAUAGUGCGCUAGCACACUCCCCUCCCUAACCAGCAAAAAUCCAGACUUUUCUUCCCAUACUGAGAGAUAAUUAGGGAAACUAGAAAUCCCCGAGAUUGGGGAAUGGAAGAAUAUCACCUGCAAUUGUUGCUUAUUGAUCCAUUCCAUUGAGGUCGGGAGCUAUACUAGACUUUGAUCCGCUGUUUGAUGUUCUUUGCCCGAGCUGCGGUUCCAAGACACCACCCAUGGAUUCGUUUUUGGAGUAACAAUACCACAUCGGGCUCAUGGGAGUUUGCAAUAACCCUGCUGUCGAAAGCAUUGUUGGAAUUAAGAUCGUUAUCACUUCCAACAUGAUGUUGCAGCGCAGGUUUUGGCUGGAAUUUGUUGGGAGGUAACGACGAGCAGCUGUGAGCUACGAUGUUGUUGGUUGACUUGUUUUUCACAGAAGCUUGCUCUGUCCACCAUUUAAGCAAUUUUUGGGCUAGGAAGCCAUUGACAGGUUUGUUGGGGGAGUCGGUGUAAUUUCCAGCAUCUCCUUCAGGGGCAGCUAUGGCACGAGCACUUCAAAUACGUUUGCCCGAUCAAACAUGGGGCCCCAUGUCUAAUUGACAACAUCUAAAUAAAUUGUAGCAGAGAAAAAGUCUUGCUCAUCGGGCAAGAUUAUAGCUCCAUCGGGCAAUAGCAACAUACUUUCAUCAAGCAUUCGGGCAAACUGCAAAAACAAUUCUGCACCCACCAUCCAACCUCCACGGUUUAAUCGUAGCCUCAAUGGUAGUCGUCGAAGUAGCCCGACCCUUGGUUGUAGGAGCUGGUGAGAGUUAGGGAGACAUGCAGAGUCUGUUGGUGGUGAACAGGGAAGACGUCACUUCCGUCGGGCAUGGUUAUGGUGGUCUCAUCGGGCACCACCAAUCGGGCAAGAUAACCCCCCUGCUCUUUUGCAAUAGCCAUUGAGAAGCUGUCUGAUAGAUUUUUGCACAGGAAAGCCAUGAUUUGGCUUUUUAUAAAACCUCCAAUUCCAAGAUUCUGGGUGAGAUUUUGUGGAAAAUGUAGUUUUAUUGUAUGGUUUUGGGUUCGGGCUAAAUACACCCAUUGGAUAAGAGAAAAGGUGGAAAGAAGGGUAAAAAUGGCUACUCACAAACUGCCCAACUCUUUAUAUUUUCUGUAAAAUUCCCCAGCAAGAAAACAAAAAGGGAAAGAAAGCAAGAAAAAACAAAGCAAGAAAGCAAAAUGUUUUUGUAAUUUUUGGAAUUUUUAAUUUUUAUAUCUUUUUCUUUGUAACAACACAAGAAACACACCAAGAAAACAGAGCCCUUUCGGGCAAACAGAAAAAGGAAAUUAAAGGCCUGUCAAGCAAGUUGGAAAAAGACAAAUAAAAAGAAAGACUUGUCAGACUUUCUUUAAAAAGAGUAAAACAUAAAAUGGACAAAAGCCCUUUCGGGCAAACCAACACCAAAGGAAGAAAUAUAAUCUUUUUAUUUUUCUUUGUUGUCCUUUUUUUUUUAAAAGCUAUACAUAUAAUAUAAUAAAAUAUACACCUACGAAAAGCCUUCGGGCAAAACACUUUUAUCAUAUAAUAUAAUAUAAUAAAUAUAGAUAUAUAGAUAUAAAAGUGUUUUGGGCAGCAGAAAGACAGGUGAGAGAGAGACAAGAAGGAAAAGAAAGGAAGAAAGAAAGAAAGAAAAAGAAAAGGAAAGAAAAAGGAAAAGGAGGAGAAGGGUACUGGAGAAAAAUGCACAAAAGAAUAACAUAAAAGAAAGCCAUUCGGGCAAAUUGGAUGAAGCCCCUUGGCUACUCAAGUGUUAUUUUUCUCUCAACACUCAAAUCUUUUUCUCUUUUUAAAAUUGAGUGUAGAGAGAUCAAACCCACCAUUUAAAUUGGCCAUGCUAUGUAGCUUGGGAACCAUAGGAGGUGGCCAUUCAUGUUUGAUCCCAAGCUUUGUCCUCAUUGAGAUCUCGAUGCGGACAACAUGCUUGUGUUGGCGGGGAAGAUUAUAGGAGCUAUUUUCUUCUUCUUCGGGCUCCACAUGAGGUGUGGGCUCAUGCCCCCCGAGCGUUGGUGUUUGGCCUACAACGGCUUGGACUUCUACAACCAUAUCCAUUUUCAUGGAUUUUUCCUUGGGUGGGGCCAUUGUUUGGCCUUCAUCAACAUGUAUGAUCUGUUCUUCCUUGGUUGUAGUAGGGUGAGUGUGCUUUGUAGAGGGGAUUUGACACAUUUGAUCUAUCAACUUUCCCAAAGUUUCUCCAAAAGUUGUAUAGCUUUCCUCCACCUUUUUAAAACACUUAGUCAUCUCUUCACCAUAUUCGAUGCUUGCCACAUGGAGUUUUGACACCUUCUCUAAUUUGCCCACAUCCUCUUUGUAGAGCUCUUCAUCCGAAUGAUCAUGAGUUGGCAUCUUAUAUAUUGGCUUUAUGUACUUAUUGGAAGUCUUUUGAUACUCAAAGCCAUUUGUUGGCCUAUCAUAGUAUUCAUGAAUAUGAUUGUCUUCAAAAGAAUAAUAACCUUCAUCAUAACCAUAAGUUGGCCAAUCUGUAAGAUCAUUAUUUAUUUGAUGGCCAUUAGUUGGCCGACAAUCAUGUUCCAUGGGACUUGAGUACUUUUCAGCCAUGUACCCAUAAGUUGGCAACUCAUAGGUUGGCUCUAUGUGAUAGCCAUAGCUUGGGCGCUCUUCCACACCAUCAUCUUCCGAAAAAGCAGAAAAAUCAUGAACAUAAGGAUUGUUCAUGAUCUAACUCCAUAUAAGGAUCCCACCGGGCGUGCCAAAAUAUGUUCGCUCCCUAAAUCCGCCAUGGCGCCUUGCGGGCAAGCCGGGGAUUUACUUCACAUAUGAGAUUGGUGGGUGCGGGCGUGCCACUACUAGAUGCCGCUAGUAGACGGGAUUUGAGUGAUUGAGGUUGCGCCUGAAUUUGCCCGAAUCAAGAGAUUGUGUCAUUUGAGUGGGAGUUGCUCAAAUUAAGGUUCUUUGUUUGCCUUAAAAAUAAGGACUUUACUUAUAUGGAGAGAUAGAACAAUAUGUAAAUGACAAGGUUGCUUGGAAAUGUAACUGACAGAGGAAAGUGACUAAUAUUGCAGAUUGCUUGUAAUUUAUAUGACUGGAAAUGAGUACAUAAAAGCUACAAAUGAAAUCGAUACUACAAGUGAGUAGCAGAGCUAAUAAACUAGAGAAAAGAAGGCUUUUUGGUGAAGGUUGAUCCCGAAAGGGAUGAAGGCUUGGUGCUGACUACAGCUUCGUUUGAAGGCAAAUCUGGCUUGAGCAGAGUUUUGGCUUUUGUUUGUUUGUUUGAGUGUCCAUAAUCCUUGUGCAGCUGCUCCUUUUUAUAGAGGUCUGGAGGAAACCCUCCUGCUGAGGUUUUGUAUCUGCCCGAAAGAAGCUUGGGCAGCUUGUAUUUCAUUGCUUUAGACAGCUUGCAUGCUUUUCACUUGCCAACUUGCAUGGAGAAAUAAUAUUAAAAGGGGAACUUGCAUUUCCACCACAAGCUUUUAGCACAUGUUUUCCCACUUGUAAUAAACUAACAUUUAAAAGAAGCAAGUUGGCUUCUUUCACAUGUUCCUUGCCCGAAAGCUUGCUGAUGCUUUUCCAUCCACUUGCAAUACAUGCAUGUAUCUUGAUUAAACAAAUGCUAGACAAACCUCCACCACCCAAACAAAUAGGAGAAACAAUAUUAUAGUGUCCAACCCCUCCACUUGCAUCUAAAUAUCUUUCCAAGUUAGCUUUCUUGCAUAUUAAUCCUCCAAAUGUCAUAUUUUACCCAAAUUGCCCAAAUAAGUAAAAAUGGGUAUAUUUUGAGUGCAAACAACAUGUCAACCUCCUGUACCACUUGUUGGAUUGAACCGUCGGUAGUCUGAAGCCAGAUAUAAGACUUCAUCAUCUGAGAAUGAGUUGGCACCGAUGUGGCUUUAGAAUUCCAACAUUACAAAGUACACGAAAAAUAUAAAACAGUUAAACAACCCACCCACCUUCACCCCCUCCAAAUAAACAAAAACAAAAAGAGAGAACAAAUUAACACUCAACAAGUAGAGGCGGCUACAAGCAUUCAAAAGAAACGAAAAACAGAAAACAAUCGAUUCGACUAUGGCUUGAAGAACAAAGAAAAGAAAACAUAAUGCAUUUAUCUAUUAAACACUAGACAAAGACGACAUAACAUAGUGGAAAAAAAGGAAGAAGGGGCAUAAAAAGAAUCACGAAGAACGCGUACGGAAAAGUGAUAAUACCUCAGGUUCAAUAACAGUCAUGUCACCUUCUGACAUUUGAACAAUCCCAAGUUCUGAGGCUUAAAAACUGGAGUGCAUCAGGCAAAAGAAAACAGCUUUAUGCUUCUUUUGCAGCAACUUGCUGAUACCCUGUUAAGUCAAACAAAAUUAUAAUUAGCAGCCCUUCUAUGCAAAUCCUUACCCAAAAUUAAAGUUUACACAAAUUUAACAUAAACCCAAGUUAGCUAGGGCAGUAAACCACCCUUUGCAAUCCCCAAGCCGUCGUUUAGAUUAGAUUAGAAUAUCGCUUUCAAAACAUAAACCCAGCUCUUACUUGCCAUGAAACAAUACAAGUUCCAAUUUUUCCUAACAAAUCUAUACUUCAUACAUAUAUAUUUCCACUAAACUUAAUUCCAUUUAUUCCCAAGUACAUGAAAAAGCAUUCUGGUGAUUAUAUUGCCCUAAAUCAAGUGAGAAAAAUUGCAAUUCAUAGGUAUUUUAGCUGAAUUUCUCGAUUAAACUAACUGUUAUUACCAGUAAAUGAUUGUUUUUCCUAAAGAUUUUAGUUCACCGAGCUCCGGAUUAAAGGGUACUUGGCAAUUUCAUUUUUCUAUUCAAUCAUUUCCAUUUUCCCGCACUUUCUGGGCAACCAAACAGGCAUACAGAAGAGAAAAAAAACAUGGUAAAGAAAAGCAAAAGGACAGACAAUUAAUUAACACGAAGGAGACAUACGAAAUGUACGGAUUCCAGGUAGGGGGAGCUUUGAAUUGCAGAGAUUUGGCGGUUGUCGGCGAAUCCCCAAAAAUGGAUAAAAUUGCGAAUAAAAUUUAGGAAAAAAAAAGAAAAAGAAACUCUCGUGUGACUGAAGUUGCGUCAAAAAUCAAAAGGUCUGCAAAUCACACGUCAGCGUUUCGUUAGGGUUUCCUGACCUCUUGUAUUUAUUUUGAUUUGAUUGAUUAGUGUUGUUUGUUUGUACAAUUCCUGGUGCGGGCCCACCUUAACCAACGGAUCAUAUUGAUCAUCAAUGUGACCUGGUAAUUAGCAGGCUUUGAUUGAAAAUGGUUCUUAUCAAUGAGGCCCGUACUCCCCUUGUAUAGUUGGACACUGAAUAUUGAGUUAAACCUCGUUGCAGUGAGAGGUUUUUGUGUGAGGCCAUCGCUGUUGGUGAGUCAUUUGUGUUGUGCGCAAGGUCUAAAAUUAUUCGACAGCCUGCUGCUAUUAUCACCAACUAGGUGAUCAAAAGUACGUCCAGUACUCUAAAAUUAUACAUGAGCAUCACUCAUGUCAAUCAUGCAUAAACACUCAUGAGCAUCACUCAUGUCAAUCAUACAUAAACAUUCAUGAACAUCAUUCAUGUCAACAUUCAUGAGCAUCACUUAUGUCAACAUCCAUGAGCAUCACUCAUGUCAAUCAACAUAAACAUUCAUGAACAUCACUCAUGACAAUCAGCUUUGAAAGUUUCAUUUACAGAGCUCCAACUUCAAGAGCUCCAGCUUCAAAAACUUCAUUUACAAAGCUCCAGCUUCAAAAACUUCAUUUACAAAAGCUCCAGCUUCAAAGCUUCACCUACAAAGCUUCAGUGCAUGGUUUACAAAGAUCGCCUCCGAACAACUGCCACUUCGGUCCAUACAUGGAUUGAAUUUGAAGUCUCCAGCCAAUAGCCUCUAUUGACUGAAGACUUGGGGGACUGCACUCUGUACCAUAUAUUGGGCUUCCACAACUAGGUCUCAUGAAAAAUACUUUGGGACUCUAGUCCAUUAUUUAUGUACUGAGGAGCGAACCCUUAUUCUAUAAAAAGGACUCCCUUACUUUCAUUAGAGAGCACACAUUAUUCAUGUACUGAGGAGCGAACCCUUAUUCUAUAAAAGGGACUCCCUCACUUUCAUUAGAGAGCACUCAUUAUUCAUGUACUGAGGAGAGAGCCCUUAUUUUAUAAAAGGAACUCCCUCACCUUCAUUAGAGAGCAUCUCCACCUGUUGAGCAACCGCCUCGCCCCGAGCAUCAACUCUUAGCCCAUCACUUAUGUAUUAAAGAGCAAGCCCUUAUUCUAUAAAAGGGACUCCCUCACCAUCAUUAGAGAGCAUCGCCGCCUAUUGAGCAACCGCCUCGCCGCGAGCAUCAACUAUAGCCCAUCAUUUAUGUAUUGAUGAGCGAGCCCUUAUUCUAUAAAAGGGACUCCCACACCUUCAACGCCACAAGCGGAGCCAACCAAGGCAACAUAAGCCACAAGCAGGGCAACCUCGCAACAUGAGCUACUUUUAGUUGAGCAUCAUUUCAGAUUGGGCACCGCCUCAUAUCGAGUAUUAGUUCUAGGCGACAUCUAGUUACUUCGGCCCACACGUGGACUAAAUUUCAAGUCUCCAGCCAAAAGACUCUCUUGACUGAAGACUUGGGGAACUACUGUUUGUACCAUACUUAGGGUAUCCAUAUUUAGAUCUCGUAUAAAUACUCGGGAGACUCAAAUGUAAUUAUGUAAUAAAUGGAGGGGCAAAUAUGUAAUAAGUGAGGAGCCCUUAUUCUAUAAAAUGGCUUCUUCACCCUCACAAACCGAAAGCUCUCAUCCUCACAAACAGAGAGCUCUCUCAAACUCUCUCUUUCUUUGGGGGACUCCCCCUCACCCUUGUAAUCCAUACGUACAGUUAGAGAGAAAUACAAUCAACAUCAGUGUGGACGUAGCCCAAACAUUUGGGUGAACCACAAUACAUCUUGUGUUCUUUACUUUCUUGCAGAUUCACGGUUGGAUUUACGUUGUUCCAAGACCCCUCCGGUUUUGUGCAUCAAAAUAAAUCAUAAUUCCCAUUUACGAAAUUUCAUAAUCACCCUGGAAUUUUCACCACAAACACAAUACAAUUUAUGUAUGUAUUUCACAUAUAAAACAUGAAUGCCACUUCAUUCACAAAAUAUGAAUUAAUACAACCACAAUGCAUUCCACAAUCCAUAUAACAAGAACUCAAGAAUAUUGCAUAUUGUAGAACAUGAUCAUUUGCUCUGAUACCAUUAAAGUUGUCACGCCCGAUCCCGACAUAUGUCCAAGAUCGAUACGUGACGUUACAAAAUACCCAUAUCACUCACACACCCCGCUUCUAGGAUAUGGACAAUGCACAACUCAAGAUUCAAAUUUCAUGAUAAUUUUUCUUAUACUUUAUGGUUGCAUCUAACCUCCUCGUUAGACUGUUUACGUACCCUCAAUAGGGAUCAAGCCAUUCGUAGUUCAACUUCGCUAUAACUCGACAUAUAACACAGUAUGUUCAAGCCAAAAUGCAUAACAUUCCUCAAUCAAACAUUUGGACUUGACAAGCAUGAAUUAUUCGAUUCAAACUACAUAACAACCCGCAUGACAAUCAAGGUUUCUAUUUCAUCCAUCAUAUAAAUCAUUAUGUUUCAACAUAAAAUUGCUAUUCAUAUCAUGUAAUAUAUCAAAGAAUCAACACAGCACAAUAGUAUCCUCUAGUCGCAUUAAUCAUUGAUCUAAUCAUAUUAAUAACAAUCAUAUUCAACAUCCUUCCACAAUCAUCUCAAGUAACCCAUUCCAUGAUAUCAAGGAGGCACGAUAUUAACAUUUAAUUAUGUUAAUCAAUCAAUCAAUCAAAUCACACCUCAAUGCACAAAAUUAAUAAAGGACUUCUACAUAGUUCUCUGCCUGGAUUUCAAGUAAUAACUUGAUAAUUCUAAUUUAUAUUCACAAGAUAUAUUAUGGGUACAUCCCAUUCAAUCGAAUCCAGGGAACAAGUCUAACUUAAGGAAAAGAGCAAAAGUAGGGAUAACGGACCACUCAACGUAAUCCAAAUCAGGAUACGAUUCCGAACCAUCACUCAAUGGAAUUGCGGAGUAGAAAGGAUUUUGGACCAUCUCUCAACGGAAUCUGAGUGGAUACGAUUCUGGACCAUCACUCAGCGGAAUCGCGGAGUACAAUGCAUAACAACCACUAAAUGAAACCCAAGUUGGAUACGAUUCCGGACCAUCACUCGACGGAAUCGCAAAAUAGAAGGGAUUCCGGACCAUCACUCAACGGAAUCCAAACAAGCAUAUGAUUCUCCCAUCAAAUGUACCAAGUACAACUAAUCCUCCUCACUUUUAGAAUGCAUAUGGUCCCCCAACGCGGAUUAACCAAGUAGGUAGUGACUCCCCAAAGUGUAUUAACCAAGCAGAGUCAUACCUACAAAACUGUUAGGCAAUGAUCACCUUAUGCGGAUUAACCAAGCAUGAUCACCCCUAAGUAUAAAUGGCCAUAAGGAUCACCCAACGCGGAUUAACCAAGCACGAUCCAUAAAUAGUAUGGUCCGCCAACGCGGAUAAACCAAGCAAGACCAGCCAUGCACCACGUCUACAUAGUGCAGUCUCAUCAUCACACCUUAUACAUAAUUAUACGCAUACAUACUAUCGAUUCCGCAUAUCAACCAGCAUUCAGUCAUAUGGAGCACAACACAAGGAAUUCCCUCAAUUACUAAUUCUACUAAAAAUCUAAUAAAGUACCUAACUCAUCUCCUGACUUUCAUCUCCAUCUCAUGCUAGGUAAUAGUGCAAAGUUCAAAUAAGUAUUCAGUUGGCAAUCAUAUCCAAAUAAUUAUCAAACAAUAUUUAGAUCCCAUAAUUGUCAUAACAUUCUUCAUAAUUAUCAUUCACAUUAUUAAAAGUUAAUUAAACACAUAUCUAUCACAAACAUCAUCAAUACACAAGCCAAAUCAUAUUUAAUUAGCAUAGGUCUAUGGCCAAAUAUAUAAAAUUCACAUUUCAAUAGAAAUCAUAUUUAUAAGACCAAUUCAUAUUCACAAAUGAUACUAAUAGUAGAAAUUAAGAUAAUAAUCAUAUUUCAUAUAUUCAAGUCGCUAUCUAACCAAUGUAGGCCCACUAGACUUCACUUAGUCCCUCAUGAUACUAAUUUUAGUAAUUAGGACGUUUCGAGACAUGUUGAUCAAAAGUCAACUUUUGGUCAAAGGUAGGGUCCACAAUUCUACACAAUUCAAUCCGGAAGAUCCACACCUUGGAUUUCGGAUAUGUAACUUUCCAAAGUCCACAUUAUGCUCAAAUAACAACAUGCUAAAAUCUUAACACGAUCCGACGAUUGGAUCUCCGCCAAUUAAAUUCAAGUGGCGAUCGACAUUUAAUUUUACAAACUUAGAAAUCCAAUUAGGGAAGAUCUGUAUGUCGGAUUCUCGAUCCGUAAGUUUCUAUGAUCCAAAAAUAUUAUGUUCUAUCACACAUUAAGAUUUGGUGACAAUCCAACGGUCGGAUCGUCGAAUCAUAUUUUUGACCUAACCACGUAUCGUAAUGAAAUUAGGUUCAAACAAUCAAAUCAUAUAAUAAGGAUAUCAAUUAUGAAAUCAGGGCAUCUAAUUGAACUUAAAAGGACAUCAUCGGCCCACUGGCCAGGCCGCCGCAGCACACGCCGUCGCGGGUGGCGGUCGGCCACCCCGACUUGUCGGAAAAUUCAACUAUUUUUAAAAAUUACUAAAAAUUAUAGAAAUGAAGAUCUCAAAGAGUAAAAAACUUUAUACCUAUGGCCAAGUUCAAUUUGGCCGGGAAACACUUCAAUUUCACUCAAACCCGCCGAAACCCUAGAAAAGGGUGUGCUUUGAUUCGGCUUCCAAUCGAACUCCGACGCCUCCAACACUACUUGAGCUUUGUUCCUGGGGUUGAGAGAAGUCUUUUGGUGGUGGUCAUGGAUGGUGAAACUUGUCGGAGCCACCGGGAAAAGGGAUAAAGCUGCCGGAACACCCGUGGGUUUGUGGCUUCGAACUGGAAAAAUGGGAAGGAAAUUGUGAAAUCUAACACUACCAGGAUGUAGGGCUCAUCAAAGGCUUUCCAUGGACACCAAGAUCACCCAAAACGGAGUUCGUAUGAAUAAGAUAUGGCCGGGUCAAAAAUGGUGGUUCGUAGGUCAAAAAAUGACCCAUUUCAGGUCCCUACUUUCCCCUCCUUCUCCUUCUCCUGAUUGGGCAGCUCCUAACCUUUUAAAAAUCUGAUUGGUUCCCUCCCUCUUCUAAUUGAUUGGUCCCUUAAUCCAAAUAUCUGAUUAGGCCUCUUUCCCAUAAAGUGGGAGUCUAAAUAAUUCCUAAAUUCUAUAGUAUCCCAACUUCAAACGCCCGUAACUAUAUCGUUAUAACCCGAACUCGUAAACGGCUUUUGCCUAUGCGUUCGUGAUCUCUAAAUCUAAUCAACAAUAUAAAUUGUGACCUUGAAUGGUCUACGGAUUUUAAAUAAUUAAUUUCCCAAAAAAUAAUAUAAAAACUCAAUAAUACCAAUACUUAGAUUAUAAUAAUGAAAUCCAGGAAUGGGAUUUCACAAUUUAUAUGUCUGUUCCUCCUGGUCUUCGGCGACAGUGGGAGAAUCUUGUGUGUCGCCUUCACAAGUCUCUUUAUGGUCUCAAGCAGGCUUCUCGCCAAUGGUUUGCCAAAUUCACUACUGCCAUUCUUUCCGCUGGCUUUCAACAAUCCAAAGUUGACUAUUCAUUGUUCACUAAAAAGUCUGGUACUUCUUUUACAGCCUUGCUCAUUUAUGUGUAUGAUAUUGUGAUUACAGGCAACGAUGUUUGUGCAAUUGAUUCUCUGAAGUCUUUUCUCCGUGAUCAUUUUCGGAUUAAAGACCUUGGUGAUUUAAAAUAUUUUUUGGGCAUUGAGGUUUCUCGUUCCAAACAAGGGAUUUAUAUUUCACAGCGCAAGUAUGCAUUAGAGAUUCUCAAGGAUUAUGAUUUUUUUUUAGCACAACCCAUUACUUUCCCUAUGGACGACACAAAAUUCUCUGAUAAGGGAGAACUUCUCAAGGAUCCUGAAAAGUAUCGCUGAUUAGUAGGACGGUUGAUCUAUCUCACAUAACUCGGUCGGACAUCACCUAUUAUGUGCAUGUUCUGAGUCGUUUUAUGCAUGAGCCAAGGAUACCUCAUAUGGAUGUUGCGCUUCGUGUUGUUCGUUAUUUGAAGGCUACUCCAGGUCAAGGCUUAUUAUUCCGUUCUGACAACCAAACCAAGUUAACUGCAUUUUGUGACUCUGAUUGAACAGGUUGUCCUAUCACUUGCCAUUCGACUACUGGGUAUUGUGUAUUCUUGGGCAAUUCUUUGGUUUCGUGGCGGGCAAAACGACAGGAAACUGUUUCACUUUCUUCAUCAGAAGCAGAAUAUAAGGCUAUGGCAAGUGCUUGUUGUGAGUUAAUUUGGCUUCGGUUUCUAUUGAAAGACUUGAACAUUCCUUUCGAUGGUCCUUCCGUUUUAUUUUGUGAUAAUCAAGCAGCAUUACAUAUAGCAGCUAAUCCUGUUUUUCAUGAGCGGACUCAUCACAUUGAGAUGGAUUGUCACUUUAUACGAGAUAAGAUUGCAGAUGGCACUAUAGAAACCAAGUAUGUUGGUACGGCACACCAGUUGGCGGAUUUGUUUACCAAGCCUCUCGGGAAAGACAAGUUUUCGAGUAUGUUACGCAAGUUGGGAGUUCUUGACAUCCACUCUCCAACUUGAGGGGGGGUGCUAGACAAGUAGAAACGUAGUUGGAAUCUAUGUAUAAUUGUAAUCCUAGUUAUAGUUGUAUUCCUAACUUGUGGGAUAAUUUCUUGCUGACCAAGUUAUGUAAUUGUAUAUAUUUGUGUUUCACGUAUCAAUGAAAUGCGCUUCAAACCCAUAUAUCUUUUUCUACAUAUUUUAAAUUGCAUACAAGCAAGCUUCCGCCAUUUAAUUGUUGAAAGUAUGCCAUUUCUUGCUUAAUGAACUUAGAUUUUCAUAAAUUUUCCUUCAGUUAUAUGGAUCCCCAAGCCUUCCGGCAGAAAUUCAGCAAUAAUAAACCUGGGUUUUGGUCACAUUCGCUAUUGAAGAUAAACCAACUUCGACAACCCGCUGCAGCGCAACCCACGAGGUCACCCACCUUCAGCCCUCGCGGUUUGAAGUUUCGAUCGCCACGAUGCCAGCCUUAUUCCACAAUAGCAGCAGCACUCCAGAGACCCGUCGCUGCAACCCAUGAAGCUUCAACCCGCGGUUCGUACCACCAGACCCCAGCCGCAACCACAUUUGAAUCCCUCGGCAGCCGUCCCCCGAGCACAGCUUUCCCCGCGACGCAACUGCAGCUCAACCCACGACCAGUUUCGGUCACGAGCUUCGAGUUCAACCUUUGGUGGUCUCGCGUUUCCCAGAUCUUCAGUCAUGAACAAACGAUGGUCUUUGUGCAGCCCGAAAAGGCGGAGAUCGACGAGGAUAAGGAAAGAAAUGGAUGAAGGGAUAAGGAAGGAAAGAGAGAGUUGUGUGGCUGUGCGACCGUUUGGAUGAGAGAGACGG
rnacentral:lncRNA from 1 species